rnacentral:rRNA from 1 species
GAUAAACGCUGGCGGCGUGCAUGAGACAUGCAAGUCGAACGGGCACUCAGGCUUGCUUGAGUGCUAGUGGCGGACGGCUGAGUAACGCGUAGGUGACCUGUCCCGAAGUGGGGAAUAACUGCCCGAAAGGGUGGCUAAUACCGCAUAUGUUCGUGCGUUCGUUCGUACGCGCAAAGCCGUAAGGCGCUUCGGGAGGGGCCUGCGUCCGAUUAGCUCGUUGGUGGGGUAACGGCUCACCAAGGCGACGAUCGGUAGGUGGUCUGAGAGGACGAUCACCCAGACUGGGACUGAGACACGGCCCAGACUCCCACGGGAGGCAGCAGUCGGAAUUUUGCUCAAUGGGCGAAAGCCUGAAGCAGCAACGCCGCGUGAGGGAUGAAGGCCUUGG